rnacentral:lncRNA from 7 species
GGGCAGAGGUGAGGGGGGUGAGUAAGUGGGGGUGUGGGUGGCUGGGGGGGGAGAGGAGAGAGGGUAGGAAGGAAAAAAUUGGAGGUAGGGUGAGGGAAGGGGGAGGGUUGAAGGGAAACUAAUGAAACAGAGGACAAAGGAGAAUAACAAGUCAAAAGCAAUGCAUGUAAAUACAGAGCAAGCAAGUAGGAAAGCUAGGCAUAGCACAGCAAAAGAGAGCACAGCAACAGAAGGCAAAGAAUGACAAAAAGCAACCUUGCAGGAAUGGAGGACUCUGGCCAGAGCUGUGCCCCUGCUUGCCACAGGAGCUGCGCGGGAGGAGAAGAAUGUGGGCCAAAAGGAAUGGAGGACUCUGGCCAGAGCUGUGCCCCUGCUUGCCACAGGAGCUGCGCGGGAGGAGAAGAAUGUGGGCCAAAAGGAAUGGAGGACUCUGGCCAGAGCUGUGCCCCUGCUUGCCACAGGAGCUGCGCGGGAGGAGAAGAAUGUGGGCCAAAAGGAAUGGAGGACUCUGGCCAGAGCUGUGCCCCUGCUUGCCACAGGAGCUGCGCGGGAGGAGAAGAAUGUGGGCCAAAAGGAAUGGAGGACUCUGGCCAGAGCUGUGCCCCUGCUUGCCACAGGAGCUGCGCGGGAGGAGAAGAAUGUGGGCCAAAAGAGCAAAGGAAAACAAGGCAAAAUAGCAGCCAGAGCCACGAGAAUCAAGAAGUCAGUGAAGAGCAGGAAAGGUAAGUUUCCCUUAAAGCGAGGGGGAAUGGUAGUGGAUGGGGGCAAAAGAGAGGGGAGGGGAGGGGAGGGGAGGGGAAGUGAAGGAGAGGGGGGAGAGGGGGAGGAGCAGUGGGGCAAGAGGGGGGUGAGUGGGGCGAGAGGGGGAGGGAGGAGGGGUGGAGAGGGGGCAGAGGUGAGGGGGGUGAGUAAGUGGGGGUGUGGGUGGCUGGGGGGGGAGAGGAGAGAGGGUAGGAAGGAAAAAAUUGGAGGUAGGGUGAGGGAAGGGGGAGGGUUGAAGGGAAACUAAUGAAACAGAGGACAAAGGAGAAUAACAAGUCAAAAGCAAUGCAUGUAAAUACAGAGCAAGCAAGUAGGAAAGC